UCUCUUCUUCUUCUUCUUUAGCUCGGUUCAAUUCUAGUAUUUUUGAGGCUUAUUUGAGUGAAGAAAAUGGAGGGAGAGAGUAGUAGCAUUGAGAGAGGAUUAUUAUUGGUAAAUAAGGAAGAGAGUGCAAAUACAACUCCACUUCUUGUCUUCACCGCUUUCAUCAUUGUCUCUGCCUACUUCUCCUUCGGCGUUGCCGUACGUUUUCUUAUUAUUAUUAUUUUUUUAAAAUAUUUUGUUAACUUUUUUUUUUUUUUUUGGUAAACAUAUUUUGUUAACUUAUUUAUCUAUUUUUGAUGUUUUGAAGGAUUCCAAAUUACCUUUUUUGAAAAUCAGAAUUGGGUUUUGCAUUGGAAUAUUCUAACUGUGUUCAACUUAUUUAGAUAUUCAUGCAUGUAUCUCAAUUGUUUUUAUGAGAAUCAGUUAGGCCACACUGCUGGUACAAUGGCUUCCAUUAUGGAAGAGCUUGAUCUUUCUAUCGCACAAGUAAGUCCCUGUUUAACUAUACAUUCAUUACUAUUUCAGAUAAGAUUUAACAAAUAAAAAUUUAUUUCGAUAAUUAUGAUAAUUGGAAUUUAUUUUUAUAAAUGUUUUUUUUUUGUAGUUUUCUGUAUUUGGUUCGCUAUUAACGUUUGGAGGAAUGAUUGGCGCAAUAUUUAGCGCCACGAUUGCAGACUUAGUUGGCCGUAAAAUGGUUAAUUUUUUUUAUUAAUUAAAUUCAUUUGGCAUAAUCUUUAAACCUUUAAUCUUUUUUAAUAAUAUUUUCGCUCUAACAUAUUUCUUAGACUUUGUGGAUCGCUGAGGUUUUCUGCAUAAGUGGAUGGCUUGCAAUUGCACUAGCCAAGGUGAAAAUAUAAAUGUUUUUUAAACCUUUAUUAUUAUUUUCUUUUUAAUGAUUAUUACGUGAAAAUAUAAAUGUUUUUUUUUAAUUAAUUGUUACUUUUAACUCUUAAGGAUUUCCUUCUCGGAUUGGGAUGACGGUGUUGUCUAUUGUCAUGGUACGUAUAUGUAAAAUAUUCAUAAUAUUUACACUUUGAUCCAUAAUCUAUGAAAUGGGAUUGAUCAUGAUAUAUAGGUACCAAAAGCUAUAUUGGGUCUGAUACUUGUGGAACGAUGGGGAAGAAGACCGCUUCUUAUGGUUAUAAUAUUUUUAUUUGUUACUCUAGUAUAAUUUUAUUGUGUUAAUUGAUUAAUUACGUUUAUAAAGUAUAUAAAUUUUUUGUACAAAUACGCAGGUAUCGGCAUUUGGGAUAUGUUUAGGUUGUAUCUCUAUUGCAUUAGCAUUUGGACUGAAAGGUGUUCCUUGGAUCGUAAAUUUUACUCCCACUUUGGCAUUUAUAGGAAUGUUGGUAAGUGAGAUCCAAUUUAUUUUCAAAAAAAAAUCAUAGUUUUCUUCUAUUUGAAUAAAAACAACCUGAAAUAUUUUAAGUUGUUUUUAUUCAAAUAGAAGAAAAGUAAGAUUAUGCUAUUUUAAGUUGUUUAUAUUCAAUUCAUCGAUCCUUAUAUUGAAUGUUAAAAACAAGAAUGUCUUAAUUACACAUAUGCUAUUGUUGUCAUUAUUAUUAAUUAUUACGUUUUUUUUUUUGUUAAUAAGAAAGUUUUUAGGUUUUUGCCCAUAAUUUCUUAGACCGGAACCAACCAUUGAUAAUGCUUAUUAAAAUGUUAUUUGUUAAUUUUCAGUAAUAUAUAGCUAGAUUUUGUAGAAAUUUCAAAAUGUGAUCAAAGAUAUUAAAUCUAUAAUCCAAACAGACAUACAAUAUGAUGUUCGCAGCUGGAUUAGGAGGACUACCAUGGAUUAUAAUGUCCGAGGUAUAUGAACAUAUGUUUACUUUUUCGUUUACUUUUUUUUUUGUGACAUUCAAAAUUGUUCAUUUCCUUACACUUUUUGUGUAGAUAUUUCCGAUAAACAUGAAAGUAGUAGCUGGAAGUUUAGUAAGCAUAACGAAUUGGUUUACUGGUUGGAUCGUCAGCUACUGAUUCAAUUUUAUGCUUCUUUGGAGCCCAACUGGUACGUCAAAACUAGUCCAAAAGCAUUAAAAAUUGAACCUUAUUAAUGAUUUAGCUCGGUUUUGUUUAGUUUUUUUUGUUUUUCUCUAAUUCACGGAACUAGAUAACUUAACAACAGAGAUGAAAAGGAAAACUAACAGAUAUUUGAUAUAAUGGAACUGCUAUCUAUUCGAGUCUCGAGCUCUUUAGAUAUAUUUUUGGAUCUUAAAUUGAUAUAUGAUUGAUGAAAUUCAAGAUUCCAAUGACGAUGCCUAUAUCUUAAUUUAUUUUUGUAAAUUCGAAUUGUAGGCACUUUUAUUAUAUUCGCCAUGAUAAGUGGAGUAACGAUUGUAUUCGCAUGGUGUUUGGUGCCUGAGACUCGAGGAUUAACUUUAGAAGAAAUCCAACUUCGACGUGCUCAUUAAUACUUUGAGUUGAUCUCAAAUAUCCAUUAUAAACGUGUGUAUAUACAACAAUCAAUUUUUUUUCAUGUAACAAAUUAAGUUGUUGUUCAUCAAUCAUCAUGCCGAAAGUUGUUUUAUUUUUUUUUGUCAAACCAAACCUGUUCUAUUUAGGUUCAUUAUAUCGUAAAACGUCGAGCCAACCUAGCCAAAAUCUGCUAACCUAAAAACAGAUAAUAAAUAAUACAAUGACUGAUGUGAUAUUUAGUAGGUGAAGAAGUUUUAGCAUGCACGUUUCUUUGUGCCAGCUCCCAAUCUUUUAGUCUUGAUAUACCUUUCAUUUUGGGUCCAGCCGUCCAGGUUCAGUGAAUUAUAUAUUUCUGCCACGUUUAUUGAAGGGCUAAUAUAGUCCAACUAAUUCUUUCAUUUAAUGCAAUUCGUAUUUUAUAGUAUAUUUUUCUUGUCCAAAUUCGUAUUUUUUGUAUAAUGUUUCAAGUGCUGUCUUUGUUUGUUGUCUCCUAUACGUUUAAUUUAAUAUUCCCUCUGUUUUAAUUGAUUUUUACUUUAAGGUUUUUACUCAAAAAUAAAAAAAUCACAAAAAUCACAUUUAAUUUACUUUUUUUUUUAUAUAAAAAUAUCAUUAAUUACAACUAAUAAAAAAAUAUGCUAUAAAAUAUAAUUAGUCAAAAACUAUUAAAUACAUUUAAUUUUUGCAUAAAAAAUUAAAAAUAACAUUUAUUUUGUAACAAUUUUUUGAUUAAAUUACAAAUAAACUGAAACAGAUGAAAUAUUACGGUCUAACUUCGAAACUUGUCCAUUACUCUGAAAAAACGGAAAACCUUUGAAAAUUCGCUUGAUUGUUCAAGCAUAUAUUUGAUCAAACAUUUUCGUGUUUUGUUUUAUUUCUUUGCGAAAAAAAAAAAGUCUUUUUAAUGAAUCUUUCACCAUGGAAUUUAUUAUAUGUUAUGGACAAUUAACUUUGUAUUUUUUCAAAAGAGAUUUCCAAAAUUUAACUUAAAUCCAUUUUUUGUAAUAUUGUGAAAUUAGAAAACAUUAUUUAAUUUAAAAUUAGAAAACGGAGAGAAUAUUAUGCAAUGUAAAUGUGUAUUUAUAAAGACAUAUCCUGUUCAAAAAAAAGAAAUAGACAUCUUCAGUUGUUAUUUUAAAAAUUAUAGUUUUCCUACCGUUUCAUUAUAAGUGUGUUUAAUUUUUUUCACAUUUAUUAAAAAAAAUAUUAAAUUUUCUGUUUUAUCCUUUAUUAAUAUAUAAUACGAAUUUUUAUUGGUCAAUACAUUUUUUUUUGGUGUAUUUUAUUAGUCGAUACAUUAAUGUAGUAGAGAUAAAACUAGAAAUUUUCUCAAACAUCUACAUUUAAAAUAGAAAACGAUACUUAUUUUGAAACAAAAUUUUAAGUUUAAAACGAUACUUAAUAUGAAAUAGAGAAAUUAUAAAUCAUUUAUUCACAAAAGAAGAAACUAGAAAAUGUAUAUAACUAUCAAGAAUAUGCAAAUAAUAUUAUAAAAUACACAAUUAUUUGCAAUGCGACUGCCAAUAGAUAAUGAAUAUAUAUUUAUAAUAAACAAAAUUAAUAUAUUACAAUAUAACGUGUAUUUUACAAUUUAGGUUGUCCCGGUAAGCGAAGCUUGCAACUCUUCCAGUGACUGUCCUUUGGUUUCCGGUACGACCAUCCAAAUAAAAAUCAAUGACAUUCCUCCGACAGCCGCAAAUAUGUAAAAUGUUCCUAUUUAAUUAUUAUUAACAAUACGUAAAUGACAUAAUUGAAGUUGAAAAUAUAUUACCAAUACAGGAUACCUAACUAAAAAUCUAGACAAAAACUUAUCAUUUCAAAUAAAAUCAUCCGAUCUAAACAAGAAAACAAAAGUAUUUGAACAAAACAUGAAUCCAAUUAUGAAUGCACAUUUUUCACAUCUAAAACUGUUUGAUAUAAAUAUCAAAAAUUCGAACACGAUUUUAAAACGUCUUUCUAGUUGUAUUUUUUACUCUAUCUAUCUAUUAUUAACUUUAAGUUUGGUUUGUAUUUUUUUCCUUAAGGUGACUAUAAAUUUUUUAUUUGGGAACUAUAUCUAUCAAAAUUAAUUAAAAAUAAUAGAGAAAAUAAAGACCUUGUGCGCUCCAUUCAAACAUAAAGUUGAAAGCGUAACUCACGAACCACCCACUAGUCCAUGAUGUUAAUGCUACUAUUGUUCCUGCUGAAACUUUUAUAUUUAUCGGAAAGAUCUGCAACAACAAAAGAAACACAAACACACACAAUAAACAAUUUUUAUUUCUUUCAUAAAUGUUUAACUAUAUGAUUUUUAUAAAUUAAAAAAUGUUAUUUACCUCAGACAUAAUGACCCAAGGUAGCCCUCCUAUACCGAAUGCAAAACAUCCGAAGUAGACCUAACCAAAUUUAAUUAAAGAUUUCUUAUUACAAGUUAAGACCAAUAAAAAAAAUUAUGCAUGGAAAAAUGAAUAAUUGUUGGGAAAAAAUAAAAUAUUUUACCAGAAUGUUUACGAAGACGAAGCACAUUCAUUUGCUGUAUCAGAAACAAAAAUCAUAAAGAAUUAAAAAUCAUAUAAUAAGGAUAAUAAGAUUGUAGUAUCAUAAAAUACGUGUUGAUAGUUAUCUCAUAUUAGUCCAAUAUAUAAAGAAUAACCUGUAACGUGAAGCUAACUCCAAUAAGUAAGGAUCCGAUGGACAUUCCAAUAGCAGAAGCCUAGAAUAAUAUUUAUCAAGAUAAUGUUAAUAAUUAAUAGAUUGUUACUAUAAAGAGUAAACUGUAUUUUUCUAACCAAUAGGAGUGGUCGUCUUCCCCAUCUGUCCACAAGAAUCAGACUAACCAAAGCUUUUGGGAUCUACAAAGAGUAGAAAAUAAUCAUAAAAGGUAUAAUCGAAAGAGCUUUGGCCUUUAAGGAAUUCAAUUUCAUCAAAGAAAAUCAAUUAGUUUAAGGUACGCACCACGAACACACCAAAUAUCAUUGAUCCAAGUCUCUCUGAAAAGCCUGUUUAAAAGACGCAAAAUGCAGAUAAUAUUAAUUAGUAUUAAAUAUUGGUGGUGUAUCUAUACUACUAGUAUUAUUUAUAUGAAAGCAAAAUAAUUUCAUAAGUAAUAAUAGUAAGACUUUGAAUAUCCUAACCAGCUUUUCUGAAUAUGGCAUUUGAAUAAUAUGUGAUACCGCUAGCUCCAGAUAAUUGUUGUAUCAACAUUAAACCAAUUCCAACCUGUAAAUUCAAAACAAAUCAUUACUUUCAUCAAAUGUAAUAUCAUAAGUAAAUAAUUAGCCUUUUUCACGCUAUUCCUUCCUAGUUCCUAUAUAUGUUACCGUACCACAAGAGUUCGUCUAUACUUCUUCUGAAACAUGUCAGAGAAACUAGACUUUGAAUCUUCUUCAAGCAUUUUUGUCAUAACCUGAAAAAGUAUAACACGCAUAUAACUACAGUUACAUAUAGAGAAAGUAUCCUAAUAAUUUAACAAAAAAGGAAAGAAAGAAAGAAUACUAGUAAUCUAUAAUAGCUAAUGAUUUUUUAAAAAAAUAUAUAUACCUGAAUUUCAGCUGCUUCACCUGAAACAUUAGCAUCUUUCCCUCUAAGUCGAUGCAAAGAACUUUCUACAUCUUUGCCUAAACCGAUUUUAGCCUGAUAAAAACAACAACAAAAAAAAUAUUUACAAAUGACUGAAGUAGAACCUUUACAUACUUAUGUCAAAUUUCAUAGUCGAAAUGAUUAAAAGAAAAUGCCAACCAGCCAUCUUGGAGAUUCCGGUAUGUAAAAUAUACCGAUCAUUUGAAGGAUGCAUGGAAUUGCACCUGAACCAGAAAAUGUAAUUAAAUAAAAAUGAUAUGUAAAGUCUUUAUAAAAUAUUGAAAUAAACAAAAAUCACAUGUUGAUAUUAAUAUUACAGUAUUAUUUUAAAAAGAAUGUAAAUGCCUCGCAACGAGAUAUUCCGUUACCUAUAACAGCCAGAACCCGCCAAUUAAUUACAGUCCCAAAAAAAUAAAUGAGGGAAAUUCCACUGUUUUGAAGAAGCUUCAAAACCAAAAAAUAGUGGGUUGUUAAUAAAAAUAUAUAAGGGGUAAUAGCUUUAAUAACUUAUUAGAAAUAUAGAAUAUAAAAUAAAAGAUUAGACUAACUUUAUUAUAAUUAAAAAAAAAAAAGAGUAUAAUAGAGUUUACCUGGUUUGAAGCAGUAAAUGCGCCACGAACAUGUUUUGGAGUGAUUUCCGCAAUAUAGACAGGGACCUUGUAUGAAUAUUAUUUUAAAAUGUUGGUUUUAAGAAAUGUGAAAUAAAUCAAUAAUAUAUAUAUACAUAUAUUUAUAUAUGUGAGAUUACCAAAUGUAAUUGGUAUAAAUAUUUUUUUAAUUACCACGUAGCUAAUCAAGCCGACUCCUAUGCCCAAGGAAAUUCUUCCCAAGUCCAGCCAGAAGACAUUCUUUUUGUUUCCACAUUUAUUCAAAUCUAUAAAUUAGAUACUUCCACAACCAAAUUUAUUUUUAUUGAAAAAUUAUUAUGGGUUUUUAUCGGAUUUACACCUUCGCGAAAGCAAUGGAGAGCCAGCCAAAAAUGCAGAAAAAAUCGCAUGCCCACAACGUCUUUAAUCGUUAAUCAACCAAAAAAAAAAGAUAUAUCAAUCAGAAUCUACGAAAAUCAUUUUUUAAGGAAAGUAUUAUUAAAAAGAAACAAGUGCAUAAUUUGAUGUAAUAAUUACUACUAGUAUGAUUUAAGAGAUAGGGUAAAAUGGUAAUUACUCGUCUUCUGCCGAGGAUGACUGCCAAUUGACCGCUGAACAAGGCCCCUACCGCACCUCCCACAUUCAAAAAGGAGCCAAACGCUGAAAACUGAUUAAAAAAAAGUUUAAAGAUUUCUUGGGAACAAAUAUCAUAUGAGUUACUAAUCAGUAAUCACACAUGUUUUUUUUUUUCAGAAAUACAACAACCUUUUUCAAAAAUUCCAACAAUAGUAUUUAAAAAGCUUUUGUAAAACAUCUUGACAAAAAAACUUCUUAUCUUACAACUAAUUUCCAAAACAUUUCUAAGUACUUCGUACACAAUUUUGUACUAUUUGAUUAUUAUGAAUUCGUUCAAAUUUUAUUUGUUAGGUAAGUAAGAUCGUGACGAAAAAAAAAAAAAAAAAAAAAAAAGGUAAGUAAGAUCGUGUAAUUGGGUUCAGUUUGGAUUCGUGUAAACUUACUAGAAUGGGCUUUGUAACACAUUAAGGCCUUUUUGCCGCAUUUAAUUUUAAUUCAAGCAAUUAACAAAAAAAAGAAAAAGAAAAAGAAAAGAGAUCGUGUAUACACUUUUGAUUAGUUUAACUUAUGAAAUUUGGAGAAAUUUGUCAUAUUCGAUAACUAAAAUAAUGACAAAAUUACUAAUAACUUUUUAUUAUUCAUGUUCAAAUAUGAGAUACGGUGUCGGAAUCACAUAUGCAUUUUAUGAAUGCAUCUCUGAUCUCUCCAUGUACAAAACAGCUUACAUGGCAUUUUAAUAAUAUUCAUUUUCCAAUAUUAACUUACGUAUCUCUCUAAUAUUCACAUACGCAUCUCUCUCUAAACGUUUGUACAUGUGUCUCUCAAUAAAUUUCCCAGCAAAGUUGCUCUACUCAUAACUUUGGACCACAAUAAAACUAAAAAUUCGUUAAAAAAUAUAAUAAGACUUCACUACUAUUAUUCCCAGUUGCGAAAACUAUAAUUUAUCAAUAAUGAUGUCUUUAUACGAAAUUGCGUAUAAUUAUCAAUUUGAUUUUCUUCAUAACCGACCAGGUUAGGUCUGAUAGUUUAGUAAUCCAUACAAGCAGAUUUACAGGUAGCUGAUGUUUUAGUUAACAGGUAAAUUAUGCAUUUUAAGCAUCAUUAAUUAGGGAUUAAUUAAUUGGGUAUUUAUAGUGAUAAAAGCUAAGAAAAAACAAAUUACAUACUUGUGCCAUAGAAAGGUUUAACUCCUUCAUGAUAGCAGUCUCAGCGCCUGAAGUAUAACCAGCCUACAAAAUCCAAGAAAUUAUUAUUAUUAUUAUUAUGCGAAAAAUUAAGAGAUUAAGACUAUAAAGUGAGAAAUUUAGAAACUCACGGCACAUCCAUAGCUGAAGGCACUACAAACAGCGACAAAAGUGCUGAGGAUAACACAAGCAGUGAUACGACGAUCAUCUCUGUCGUUUUCAUGCCGGAGAAGUCCUUCCUCCAUGCUUCUAUUCUCCUCCACCACCAUUUCUUACGAUUAAUCCUUCACCUCUCUUAAUAUUUUUUCCCAAGAAAUCUUCUUGAACAAAAUAAAUAACAACAAGAAAUCUUCUUGAUCGAUGAUAUAAACAGAGAGAAGAGAGAGAAAGAAGAGGUAGAGAGAAAGAAGAGAGAGUUUACUUGUGGGGUUCAAGCUCUUCAUGAUUUGCACAAGUGGGCUUGUUAUAGAAUAUGAUUUUGAAUAUAUUUUUUUUUUUAUAAUUAAAUAUUUUUAUCAUUUUUAAUAAUUUCGAGUUUUGUUGUCCCUUUGUAUUAAGAUAAUAAUGCCAACUUUGAAUGCAUCCAACUGAACAUAGCUCAUUAUCUGUCCUCAAUACCAGUUGUACUUUCUUUUCUUUUUGUUCCAAAUAGUUUUUUCUUUUGUAAAGAGAAAACUUAAUAUUUAGAUAAAAUUAUGUAUUAUGUAAUUUUGUCCAAGAAAAAAAAGAAGAUAAAAUUAUGUAUUUAGAAAAUAAAAUAGACAAAAAUCAAACAUAAGAAACAUUACCAGUGAUAAAAAUCACAGAAACUUUAUAAUUUUCUACAACUGAUUAACCAGACUAAGAAAUAAACUGACCAAAAUCAAAGGAAAUAUUCAGUUGAAGCCAUAUCCAAAUUACUCUAGUCCAACGUGUUUCAUAUUGCCAACAUAAAUGUGAUUAAACUACAUCAGUACAUCACCAUGUUUUAGUGUUUACCAAUAACAAAUAAAAAACUACGGGCUACAAUAAUUGACUAACAUAGUCGUUGGACGUAUCUACCGUUAAUUAAUUUAUAGUUCUGUUUUAAUUAUUUUUACUCAAAUCAAUUACAAACAUAUUCACAAAAAUACCUAAAUUAUUUCAAAUGAGUGUUGUUUAGUAAAAUAUAUUAUCUAAAAACUCUAUGAAUAAUUAAAAAAAUAUAUUAAUGGCUGAUCAACAUAACCGUUGGAGUCCUUAGCUAUGCGUUCGUCAAACUUACAGUUCUGUUUUUACUUGCUUUUUUUUUACUCAAAUCAUUUUACAAAACAUACUCACAAAAAGCCAUAAUAAUAUUUUAGUGAUAUUAUUGUUCAGUAAAGUUUGACAAUUUGAUAUUUCAUAGUCAUACGCAUGUCUUAGUCUUUUUUUUUUUUUUUUUUUUUUUUUUUUUUGUCGAAAUCGCAUGUCUUAGUCAAAGUAUAGUAUUUUUGCCAAAAUUAAAAAAUUAUCAUUGUUUAGGUAGAAUUCUAGGAAGACUCGGGAAGAUUGAGUAAAUUUCUCCAUCCUAUUUCAAAUUCGUAUUAUUUUUAAAACAAAACAUGGAUAUAAAUAUUUUAGGAUGAUGUUUCUAAAAUUCAAAUAUUUUCUUUCAAAAUAAAGGAAAAAAUGUGGAUCGAGUUUACCCCAAGCAACUAAUUAAUGCUAGACAAAAAACAAAUUACAAAAAAUAUAUCUACAAAAAUUUGCCACCUAAGCAACUAAUAAUGGUCUCAAUAUCUUUUUCAUUUUUUUGUAACCAAGGUUAAACUGAUUAAAAAAAAAAAAAAACGAAGGUACCAUAAUCAUCUUUUCAUUUGUAAUACGAGGUAAAGUAAUAUAUGUGCCUAAAGUAAUUUUUGCAAAACAAAUAAUAUUUGUACCCUUUUAUCAAAAAUAAAAUAAAAUAAUGUACCUACAUCUGUUUUAAACAAAGAAUGGUUUAUAAAUGAAAUAUAUAUGUUUAUGGUUUGUUUAUAUUAUCGGUGAAGACAAUAUAAAUGGGAGUUUGUUGAGAAACGCGAAGACUAUAAAGUUUAAAUGGGAGUUGUGUUAACUAAUUAACUCACUUAAUAACAUGUAAAGUCAAGCAUAGUGUAACGUGUUUCCAACAUAAUGACGAUGAUGGUUAUAAUUCUAUAUUGUGCGUCAGCAUCAUAUGGUUUUGUAUCGUUCUUCAGUAUCGUUGACAUGGAUGAUUUUUUUUUGUUGGGGGGUUUGUUUUAGUUAACAAUACAUGGAUGCAUGAUUGUUGAAGAUAGAGGAGCGAGACGUCUUAAAUUAUGGUGGACAAGUGAGAGAAUAUGAGACCCCACCCUUUUCAUAUUUUAACUACCCAAUUGGCCAAUGCCCAUCCUAAGUCUUAUCACACGUUUUUUUUUUUUUUGAUGGUAAUCAUUCUCAGUAGCUAAGAUUUUGUCAAGACAAUAUGAUAAGGAAUUGGCAAUCGAUUCAAUCUUCAUCAGACACUAUCCUUAUUACUGCAUAGUGUAGAUGGGAUUGUCCAUUUCUUCUGUACCCACCCGUACACAUUUCGUUGUAAUAUUGGUUCCUUUUGCGGUUUUUCAUGAUCAUUAGCGGGUCUAAUUCAGUAGAAAAACUAGGUUUUGUUGUAUCCACAAAUGAAUCUUCUCUUUCAGGACCACUUCUUGUAUACAAAGAAGUUUUUUACGUCCCAUAAUUAAGAAGAAUAAAUUCAAAAUUAUAAUAGAAGAUAAUAAGCAUAUGGUGGUUUAACCCUUUAGGCUUGGUCAUGAAAGUAAUAUCUCUUUGAAAUUAAAGAAAAGGUCUGAAAGGAAUCAAGAGUGAAAAGGACAAGAAACCUAUCCAUUUCCACUAUCCAAACUUGUGAAGGUUAUCACAAUUUAUUGUUAUUAUUUUCUUGUUAUAGGAUGUUGAUUUCUUUCAAACGCAACCUUUUUAUAUAUCAUAUUUUAUGGAACAAGACAUGUAAGAUAUUUUAGUAAGCCUAAUAAAUCCCUUUUCUAGAGCACGUAAUAGUGACAUGUUAUGCAUAUCUAAUGAUCUUUCUUACAAACGGUACUUUGACCAAUCAAUCGAUCGAAAUAUAUCUCACUUGUUUCCUGAAAUCUUUUUGUAAAAUCAUUAGUGAAGACUUUAUUCCAUAUUUGUAUACCACAAACUGAAUAUAUAUAUUUUUACUUGUAACUCAUGUGUAGUUUAAAUUUGGUGUUAUUUUUUAUAUGAAAGAAAACUAUACAUAUCUUUGAUAUUUUGGAUUUGAAAGUACGGUAGUGUGUCUAAAAAGACCGAGAAAUUGUUUUCAUUAUUUUUAUCCUAAAUGUACAUUUGAUCUUUCAAAAAAUUUAAUACCUUUUUUUUUUAAAAUAAGAAAUAAAAAGACUGAGAAAACUUCAGUAUUUAACAAUUUAAUCUGUAAUUAUAUCAUGGAGUAAUUUUUAAGUGCUGACUUACUGAUUAUGAAAUUGUGAUGGUCUGUACGUAAAAUUAGUCAAUAUAUAUUGUAGAUUUGUAAUGUUUGAAUAGCGAACUGUAGUUGAACGUGAGUAAGAUCCAUACUACUCGGAGCAUAAUUAUCAUUCGACCAAAACUAAAGAUUCAGUCAAUUUUGUGUUUUAUCUUAUAAUAAGGACUUAAGGAACGUUAGACGAAUUUACGUUGACAAAAAAGAAAGGAUUUUUAUUAUCUAGUUGACGAGUGUGUAUAAUAAAUUGUUAUAAUGAGGUUACAUUUACAUGGGCCUACUAAAAUAUAGAUAAAGCCCAACAGGUUUUCAGAAACUAUAAAUUAGCUGACAUUUUUUUUUCUUUAAUUGUAAAAGGGCUAAUCAUCCUGGUCUACAAAUCUUUUACCGGGCUAACUUAUUUGGCCCAUAUGAGUGAACAUGAGAUACUGAGAUACGAUUCUUAUUUAACAUUUACUUUGUUGACCAAAAAUAAAACAAAUCCUUUUCCAUUAACUUCUUCAAAAUUCGUCAAUGAAUUCUUUAAACAAAAGAGAGAUGGUGGUUUGCCACGUUGAAAUUUAAAACUAAUCCAGAUUGACCUUGUUCAAUUAAAAAAACAUACUAUAAUUGUUCUCUGGUGUAAUAUGUAAUGGAGCAGACGUGGAUAAUAUUGGAAUUUUUCGCUGUGCGUCAAAUUUUAAUUGUUAAUCUCACUGUAUAAAAACAGAAGUAAUAUUAGUUGUUAACCAAAAAAAAAAACAUUACUUAACUAGUUUAGCUUUAACAUUACGUACAAAUUUUACUUAACUUAGAUAAAAGAAAGAAAUUGAAAAACUGGUUUGGUGCUUAAGCUUGAGCAAGAAGGUAAUGCAAACGAAGCACACUUACACAGAGAAUCUGGAUGAAGAAGGAAUGUUCAUGAAAUUCGAUUCUCACAUUUCUAUUUGAUUCGAAUUUCAAAUUGCAAUUUCUCAGAUUCCGGGGAAACAAAAAAAACCCUAGAAAAAUUGUUUCUCCGUUUUUUGAAUCAUCCAUGAGUCCUGACAAUAAACUGCUUCCGAAGCGGAUCAUCCUCGUACGGCACGGUGAAUCGGAAGGGAAUCUCGACACGACGGCGUAUACAACGACGCCGGAUCAUAAGAUCCAGUUAACGGAUUCCGGUUUGCUUCAGGCGCAGGAAGCCGGAGCUCGUCUCCACGCUUUGAUCUCUUCAAAUCCUUCUUCACCGGAGUGGCGUGUGUACUUCUACGUUUCGCCGUACGAUCGGACUCGAUCUACGCUCCGGGAGAUCGGACGGUCGUUCUCGCGUCGCCGUGUGAUUGGUGUUCGCGAAGAAUGUCGAAUUAGGGAACAGGAUUUUGGGAAUUUCCAGGUUAAAGAGCGAAUGAGAGCAACGAAGAAGGUGAGAGAGAGGUUUGGCCGCUUUUUCUACCGGUUCCCGGAGGGAGAAUCCGCCGCCGACGUCUUCGAUCGCGUCUCCAGUAUGUUUCACUUCCUUGCUUAUUCGAAAUUUUUCUCACUUUACUCGCAUUGUUGAUUGUCUACAUAUCUCGUUAUCUAUAUGUAUAUUGACUGAUCUGAGAUGAUAAUUUAGUUUAGCUAAGCAUGAUUUUAGAUCAUUCUCGAUGAUCCUGGCCUGUACAAGUAGCAAAAAGUUGAGGACUUUUUGGUUAAGUAGCAGAACAAUGACAUUAAACCAAAUGCAUCUGUUAAGAGGAAUUGGUUGAUAUCUGACCUUAGAACCCUUGAAUCGAUUUCAUUUGAUGCCAUUCAUGCUUGAUUUCAGGUUAUGCUCACAUUCACUGUUAUGAAGAUUCUAUUAAAACCUGAGUUUUCGCUGGAUCCAGCAAAUCGCUGAAAUGCGUUUUACUAGCUGUGGUCUUGAAUAGAAAAGGAAAAGGUUUUUCUCAGAAUCAGAAGAAAGUCUAAUAUUUACUUUCCAUCAAUCUCUUUUGAAAUGUCACCAAAAUGGAAAAAUUUAGCUAGUCCUGGCAUGUGAUUGUUUCAUCGUUGUUGUUUUGUCUUUUCUCUUUGCUUUGUUUUCUUCCAUCAAUCUCUGUGUGAGUAAACAAGAAGAAAUUAAGACAUGAUGUGGUCUGUUUGCGUGUUGCUAUACAGGUUUUCUCGAGUCUCUAUGGAGAGACAUCGACAUGAACAGACUACACAUCAACCCGUCUCAUGAGCUAAACUUUGUGAUUGUCUCACACGGCUUAACAUCGCGUGUGUUUCUGAUGAAAUGGUUCAAGUGGACCGUGGAACAGUUUGAAGGACUAAACAAUCCAGGGAACAGUGAGAUUAGAGUAAUGGAAUUAGGACAAGGCGGUGAUUACAGCUUGGCGAUUCAUCACACAGAGGAAGAGUUAGCCACAUGGGGACUGUCACCAGAGAUGAUUGCAGAUCAAAAGUGGCGGGUUAACGCGCAUAAAGGCGAAUGGAAAGAAGAUUGUAAGUGGUAUUUUGGUGAUUUCUUCGAUCAUAUGGCAGAUUCGGAUAGAGAGUAUGAGACUGAGGCCAAUGAAGAAAAAGAAGAAGAAGAAGAAGAAGAAGAAGAAGAAGAGGGAAAAAGGGUAAAUCUGCUAACGAGUUCAGAAUAUAGCAAUGAGCCAGAGUUAUACAAUGGAAAAUGCUGCUGAUAAUUUUUUACAGAACAAAAGCAUACAUGAGAAGAAAAGUUUAACUAAAGAAAUUCAGAAAAAUGUGAUUUUGAUAAUAACUUGUACCGUUUACUUAUGAAGCUUUCUGGUUUCUUAGUUUGUGUAGCUUUUGGUUUGUGGAGAAGUGUUGUACACAUUGUUAUAACACCAAAAACAUUACAGGAAAUUUGAAAGAUUCAUUUUACUGUGCCAAAGCAUUUAUCUUUUUGAAAGAAAGUUAGAAAAAUGUAACAGUUUAAGUUUAUGGAAAUUAUUCAUAUACUCAUAAAUAAACCAUUUAACAUACAACUAAAUAGAUAUAUGUAAUCAAUAAAGAAAAUGAUAAUGUAACUUUCUUUGUUACAUUGCUAAAGAUUCAAAGAUGACGCCGUCUCAGAGUAUUUACCGGUGAGAAUGUGUAGCGCAACAUACCGAUUUGCAGCUUCGGUGUAAUGAAUGCCGUCCCAGUUAACAUAUUUGGAACUAUCAUAACAAGGUUUGGCGGUUUUGAUCGUACCGUUUGAUCUUGCUGUCUUACCGCAACCAACCUGAUCAUCGUAGUUCAGUGGCGGUCCUCCCGUUCCACAACAUACCGUUAUCGAAUGAUCAAAACCUAUUACCAUACCAAAAAAAAGUUUCAAACACUGUUACAUUUACACAUAUGGCAUUCCGGUUCAAAUGCCACCACUAACACAAAAAGUAAAUAGUGCUUUCUAAUUUGAGUGAACUGAUUAUAAAUACGUACCAUAUUUGGAAUGAUUCAGGAUGAGGUCGGAUUUGAUAGAGAAGAUAUCUACGUAUGUGAAACGGGAAUCGGGAUAUUGUUGAGGGAGUUUUUUGAAAAGACCAUGAAGCUGCAAAUUGAAAAGCUUAGCAGCUUGGUUAUGGUCACUGACACAACCAAACUCAUCAAGCUUUGAUUUGUCUUUCCCAAAUAAUGACACAACUUGUGCUAAACACCCAAGUGGUCCUGUGUUGUGUAUCCAAUAGUUUCUUGCCCCUUCUGCAUAUAAUCUCUAGAUCAAGAAUUACACAAUGAAUUAAAUUAAUAAUAAUAUGAUGAUAUUUUUGACUCAAAUCAAAUUCAAAUAUUUCCCCAAAAAAUGAGUAUCCAUGUAACAAUUAAGUGUCAUUUAUCGUUUUAUUUAAGAUGGCGUUGUAUUCAAACUCUAUUAAAAAAAGAGAGAGGAUUUUAAGAUUCAUGUAAAUAACUAAAUACUAACCUUUAUUCCAUCUUGAAAUAUAUCUAAGAUUGUAGGAACCAGAGCUAGAACUUCAUCUAAUGUCUUGGAGUAAAAUGCUCCGGCAAUAUCAUUUUGUCCGAUAUCAAACAUAUAUAAUCCUUUUUUGAAAUAAUAUUCGGACGGUAAGUAUCUUCCGAGCUCUUCAUCUUAUAAACAAAAGAGAAAGAAAAAAAAGUACAUUGGUCCGUUACUAAAUGAUUCAACUAAGUCUAAAAUGUUGAUGAACUUUUGGUAUCAUUUGAUAUUUAGUUACCUUGUUGUAUCAAUUGAAGGACUUUGGACUUAAAGGUGAUGAAUUGAGAAACUUGAACACCAAAACCAAAGGGACUAUAGGAUGCAGCAUUCGCCUUCUGAAUCGUUGACGCAGCCGCCGCAAAAUUGCAGCCUCUCCGAUAACUUUGUCGACUUAUCGAAUCUAAAUAAGGCCUCAAAUAGGGCCGAUCAAUUGCUUCCACUACAAAACAUAAAGCCCAUUCAAAAACUUCUCAUGUUAAGAGCAACCUCAAUGGAGGUUUCUUACAAGAUACCUUAACAUUAAAAUAUUUAAAAAAAUUGAAAAAGAAGAGAGAGAACAAGAAACAUACCUUAUAUAAGGAAUGUUUCUAAACAUUUUAGAAACCUUUUGUACAUUUGUCUUCUUUUUAGUGGUCUAUUUAUUUUUAUAUUAAAAUAUUAAUAUUUAAAAUAUAAGAAACUCAAAACUUAUUUCUAACCAUUGUGGUUGCUCUAAGAGUCUUAGAGCAUGUUUACUCAUGAACCAAAAUGAGUAUCAUUAACAGUUUUUUAUUAUUGUUUCAUGAGUUGAAACCCAAAAUGAGUAUCAAUAGACUCACUCCAAUGAUACUUUUCAUUCAAAUAUCAACCUAAAAUAUAUAUUUUUUAUUAUUAUUCAUGGGAUGAUACCCACAAAAGAAUCAUGAGUAAACAUGCUCUUAUGGUUCAUAAGAAUCCUUAAUACCUACAAUGUAAACUACAUGAGCGUGAUAACCGCGUUAUAUCAAGAUCAAUCAAAACAUCUUGCAAGUUGCAACUUUUUUAAAGUCAUGUUUUUAAGUCGACUAGUUUGUUUGUAGGUCAUGCAAGUGCAACAACGCUUCCAGUAAAAACAGGAAACCAUGACAAUUUGUCAAUUUUGCCGUGGUACAAAAUAAAAUAAUAAUAUUAAAAAAAAAAAUAAAAAUAAAAUGAUAGAUUUUAAAGAAUAAAGGAUUUAGAAAUGAUGAAUGAUUACUUAGAAAAUCGACGAUAAGACGUCCAUUGCAGAAUCUUCCGGAAGUUGGAGAUCUGAAGUAGGUUUUUUCAUAGGAAGGUUGGGGAAGAAAUCCAAGACCGGAGCUAAGUUCUCCGGUGUCGGAGUUAGAGUCUCCGAAGUUGAAAACCGCCGGGAAAAUAUUAGAAAUCGGGAAAGAACCGGCGAGAGGAGGCAGAGUUUGAGAGAUGGCUACGAAUAGUAAUAAUGUAAGAAGAGUGUGGAAAAGAGUUUCCAUGGCUCAAACAAUGUAUUUUGAGUCUUAUCAUUCUUACAUACUGUAUACAUUAUAUAUUAUGAUUUUAACAAAUAUAAAAGAAAAGAAAAGAAAAAUAUACAUCCUUAUGUGGAUACAAAUAUAUGCGUGUAUACAUAAUGUUAUGAAAGUGGAAUGUGAGUUUGCUUGGAAAUAUGGAUAGAAACAAAAUGAUGAAGUCCUUCCUCUCGUGACAUUUUUUUUGGUUUUAUAUACGGAAAUCACAUCAAUUUCUUAGGGUUUAUCAAAAAAAAAAUCACAUCAAUUUCAAUAUUGUGUCGACUAUACGUCUAUACGAUAUCCGAAGAUAAAAAGCUCAAUAAUAAUUUUUUUUUUAUUUUUUAUAAUUGCAUAUUUUUUAGGUGAGGCCCACUAAGCCUGAUAGGCCCAAAUAUUCCUUUCUAGGCUCUACUAAAAAAAUAAUGGAACUAAGAAUCUCGCCGGAGUUCUAGCUUCGCCGUGUCGUGUCCAAAUCUAUCGUCGGGCUCUCAAAGCCAACGUAACUAUGAGGAAACCACGAAUGGCAAAGAUGGUGAAUUCCGGUCAUCUAACCACGAUUCGCUAUAUUAUUAAAUUGAUAUUUCUUACAUUAUUUUUAAGGUUUCUUAUUUUGAUGUAAGUUAUUACUUAUUAGUAUUUUAUAUUAUUAGGUAACACAAAGUUGGCAUCUUUUUUUGUUUACUAAAUUCCAAGCAAAGCAGAGAAAAAGAAUUGAUAUGCGUGCAAGUUUCUGUCCAAAUUCUUGUCCUCUUUCUUUUUUUGGAGGUGUGCAUGUGGUGCACACUUCACACUUCACAAGUCGCAACACUUUACUUAGAGACCAGAGAUUAGAGUUUUGAUCACAGUCGUCAAUGGCAGAACCGGAGGUGAUUCACUCAUGGUCUGCACCAAGAUCUCUCAGCACCAGCCUCAUGUACUCCUUUGCUCAGGUACCCUACCAAACUUGUUCCUAUCUUCUUGACAAAUUUUCCAGGAAUUAUGAGUGUUAGCUCUAAAGAUUAUGAUCAUCCAAAACCAAAUCUCAAUUCUGAUUUGCUUGUUUUGUGUCUUCUGAGAAAAUUGAGUAUGAGUUUUAGAGAUUUUGAUUUAUCUAAUAAAUAACUUGGAAAAAACAUGAGAUCUCUAGAAAGAAUCACUGUGGAAAUUCGUUGGUGUUCUUUUCUAAUUGUUGUUGUGUCCAUGUUUCAGAGAGAUGACACUGAAGUUGUCGACGAGCCGUUGUAUGCAGCAUUUCUUAAAGCUACAGGUGUUGAUAGGCCAUACAGAGACGAGGUUCUCUCCAAGAUGGUAUGUCUCUCUCUAUGUAGUAACUGAUUAGGAUUUUAUUUCUUAGUCUUUCUUUGAGUAAACAAGUUUUAUUUCCCGUCUUGUAAUUUAAAUAGGAGUGCAGUGGAGAUAAAGUUGUGAAAGAUGUCAUAUAUGGAUCUGGAUCGAAGAAGUACCGGUAUUGUAAGGUAAAAAGGUCUCUGAUUGUUUGUUUUUGAAGCUUCAAAGUUCAUAUUGUCAAACUUUCUUCUUGUCUCUUUCUCUAAAAGAUAGUAAGUUGUUCUGUUUUUCCCUCUGAACAGCAUAUCUCGAAGCAGCGGCUUUUCGGUUUGUCAAGUGAACUGAUGAGAAAAGGAAAGCAUUUCAUAUUGAUACGAAAUCCUCUUAACAUACUGGUUAGCUUUCGCAUCAAACGCCAGUUCUCUGCAGCUUUUUAGCCAAUGUUUCAUCUAAUGUUCUUCUCUGUUUAUCUUUUUUGCAGCCUUCCUUUGAGAAAGUACACCCUCCAUCGUUUCUCGAAUUAGGCUUGGGGGAAUUAGUGUCGAUAUACAGUGAUCUCUGUCAGAUGGGAACACCACCAGCAGUCAUCGAUGCGGAUGAGCUUCAGCGAGAUCCCGAGGUUUUGUUUCUGUAAUACGUAAAAGUUUCACAAAGAUGUCUUUUUCUCUUACAUGUUAUGCUAUCCAUAUAUACACACAGACAACACUACGCGGUCUUUGUGAUGAUUUGGAGAUUCCAUUUCAAGCCUCUAUGCUUAAGUACGGUCCUCUCCUAUCAUACUCUUAUAGUUUGAUAGAUAUCAAAACAUUAAAUUUCACUUUGGUUUGUUAUGUUUUCUUGAAGAUGGAAGGCUGGUCCUAUACCAGAAGAUGGAGUAUGGGCACCAUGGUGGUACAAGAGUGUGCACGAAUCAACGGGUUUCUCAUCUCCAAAGAAGUAUCCUCGGGUAAGGCCUUAUUUGUUGUGGUUAAUGGUUCUGAAAUCAAUCUAAGAUGUGUUUAAUAUUGUUAUUUUUCCUUCAGACAUUCCCUUUGUCGCACUACGAUUUGCUGGAGCAAAGUCUACCGCUUUACAACAUUCUCAGGAGCCACGUGAAGCACAGCUCCUCCCUCUUGAGUAGUCCCUUGCCUGCUCCUAGUCUCCCAGUUCCUGAAAACGCAAAACUUCUUGCAUGGGUCGGUGACGAGAUUUUGCCUCGUGAGAUGGCAAAGGUGUGCUUGAAAUGUGGAAGAAAACUUGACAACUCACUGUUUGUUGAUUUGCAUUUUGGAACACUGAUUAUGUUCUAUUUCUUCUUAUUCUUGUUAAGGUUUCUGUUUUUGACUCGGUUGUACAAGGCGGUGACUCGGUAUGGGAAGGACUUCGGAUUUACAAGGGAAAGAUAUUUAAGCUUGAAGAACAUCUAGAUCGGUAAGAACAGUCAUAUCCAGAAACCAAGAAGCAAAUAACAGAGUUUUCUAAGCAAUCUUGUUUUAUAUGUUGGAAUCUUGGAUUAGGUUGUUUGAUUCAGCAAAGGCUCUGGCUUUCGAAAAUGUUCCAGCGCGUGAAGAGGUAAGCAUCUGAUGAUUGUAGUGCUAAGUUUUGUUAUUUCAAAACGAUGUUACCACGAUAGCUUAGUUGUGGCAAAACAUGCAGAUAAAAGAAGCAAUCUUCAAAACUCUCAUAACCAAUGGUAUGUUUGACAAUACACAUAUCAGGCUGUCUCUAACUCGAGGCAAAAAGGUAUUUCAAGUUUCUUUGAAACCGAUUUAAGAAACUUCUGUUUUCAUUUCGACCAUUUAGAGUAAAGAAAACUGUGCAACUUCUUUCUUUAAGGUAACUUCUGGAAUGAGCCCUGCAUUUAAUCGAUAUGGAUGUACUUUAAUCGGUAACCUUUCAGCUUUAUCUUAACAACUCAUUGUGCGAAAAUGAUUACUCUGGAGUUCAAUUCUUUCAUAUAAUGCAGUGCUUGCGGAAUGGAAGCCUCCGGUGUAUGACAAUGAUGGUGGAAUUGUGCUGGUGACCGCAACCACACGCCGCAACUCGCCUAAUGUAUGAAUUUGGUUCCACGUUUCUGUUCAUGAUAUAACAUAAAUAAAAUAAAAUAAAAACUUGUUUGUAAAAUAUUGUUGAUUUCUGAAAUUCUUUUUGGUUUGUCAGAAUUUGGAUUCCAAGAUUCAUCACAACAACCUUCUCAAUAACAUACUAGCAAAGGUACUGUCUUCAAAACAAGAAAGUUCAAGAAUUGACGCUGUGAGAUUAAUUUUUCUUUGCAAUGGAACAAUCAGAUUGAAAGUAACAACACGAAUGCCGCUGAUGCCAUUAUGCUUGACAAGGAUGGUUAUGUGUCUGAAACCAAUGCAACCAACAUUGUAAGUAAUCCUUUGAUGAUUCCUCAGCAUGCUUUUCUAUCAAAUUUCAGUAGAUUUUUAAGAGACUAUAGAAAGCUAAUAUUGUCAACAAAAAUUUACUUUGUUCUACAGUUCAUGGUGAAGAAAGGCUGUGUACUUACUCCUCACGCAGAUUACUGUCUCCCUGGCAUAACCAGAGCUACCGUAAGAGAGAGACAUUCACUUUCGUUUUGUUAAGAAUUUUAUAUAAACCAUUCUUUUCUAUUAUCUUCCUUUCAAGGUCAUGGAACUUGUGGUGAAAGAGAACUUCAUCUUAGAAGAAAGAAGAAUCAGUCUCUCCGAAUUCCAUACAGCCGAUGAGGUUCUUUCAGCUUACAAAUUAUCAGUUUUUGGGGGUCAAAUUGAAUUAUAUGUGCCUCUCUCUCUUUCUCUAGAUAAUCUAACAAUGGUUUUGUUUUUUCAGGUAUGGACAACUGGAACUAUGGGGGAACUAAGCCCGGUAUGUACAGUCUCUAGUAGCUUACGAAUAAAACAUGCUCAAUCGUUCUGCACCUGAAUCUAUGACAUUCAUUAAUUAAAACUUUGAAUAGAUGCAAGUCAUAUCUAAAGUUCUUGAUGAAAUCUUCAGGGGAUCUUACUUGAACCAUAUGAAAAAAUAUCCUGUUCUUUUGUUACAGGUUGUGAAAAUCGAUGGACGUGUGAUUGGUGACGGCAAAGUUGGACCGGUAACGAGAACACUGCAAAACGCUUACAAGAAACUGACAGAGGAUUCAGGUGUGCCAAUACCUACUUACCAAGAACCCUGAAAUACAAAACAAGAGGUAAUCAAAGUUGCUGAAUAGUCGUCUAUCUGAGAUAGUAUAUCAAAAAUUUUGGUUAUGAUUUAAUAAUAGCUUAGCAAAUGCAAGAGUAGAUUAAAAACCAUUUUAACUUUCACAUGAUUCAAGUGGGUCUUUAUACCGUUUAUUUAGGUUUUGAAACAGAGCCACGAGGGAACUUAAUAAUAAAAAGCAAUCAACUCUCACAUGAUUCAAUUGGUUUUGAGGAAAAAACAUGAAGCUUUUGCGUCAUCUUAAUUAAUAGAUUUCCUUUCAUGUAAGUAAAGAAGCUUUCUUUCUUUUUUCAGGGGAUGCCAAUGUUGUAGCCUUCUUAUAGUCGUUUCUUCUUAUCUUGGUACCAAAACGGCGAGUAGUUUAUACGUGGCAAUGUAAAACUGUGUGUAGUCAAGCUUGUCGAGUAGACUUAAAUCAAAGUCAGCAUUUGCUUGUUUGACCCAACGUGAGAAGUAUGACCAUAAUAAAUAAAGCCACCACUCGAGCGUUGAUUCUUUUCCUUUUCUAGAAAAUUCAAUUUUUCUUUAAGUUAAUUGCUGGAAGGAAUCAAAUUAAAAUAUAGUCAAGACUAUUAUAGAUCUUUGUUUUAUUGUUUUAAACAUACUUUCCCAAUUUAUUGAAUAAUAUAUGUUCCAUUCAUGGUUGACAAAAUGCCAGAAAGAUGAGAACUAGUGAACAUUCAUACUUUGGAGUUCCAUAUCUAUAAUUUAUGUCAUAUAAAUCUGUUUAUGUCAUAUAAAUCUGUGGAGUCAUGAAUAUUUAUAAAUUAUAAUAGAUUUUACAAUGUAUUUUGAAGAUUACUUAUAUUUAUUGAGGUGAUAUGCGAUAGAAUUCUGAUAGCGUUUCGGUUGCCGCCGGCGGCAGUUAUCCUCCUUGAUUAUUUAACUCAGGGUCAGAGCCCAGAAUGGUCCAACGUUCGCUAAAGUGUUUGUUUAAUGGGAUCAGAAUCAUAUUUAUAAAAAACAUUCCAAUUACUUUAUUUUAUUUUAGUUGUUUGUCAUCAAUUAUUUUCGUUUUUUAAGAUAUAAUCAUAUAUAAAAGCCUCAUGACUAAAAGGAAACGAUUUUUCAAAGGCAUAACUUCCUUUCUUUUCUUUUUUUUUUUUUGGUUUUAAUGUUAAGAUUCAAAGGCAUAACUUGCUAAUGGCCUAAAAAUUUUCGUUUUAUUUCUGUUAAUUGGGGAACCCGAUUCUCUAUGAGUAUUGUCGUCUCUUUGAGUUUCUUUUACUUGAGUGGCAAGUAGAUUUCUGAUCUUUCUUUAGUGACUUUUCUUUAUCACAAGAUAUAUAUUUUUUUUUUGAGCAAAGUAUCACAAGAUAUUAUGUUGAUAAAAAGGAGUAUUUUCUUGUAGUAAGGAAACGGGCAUCUAUAUAAUUUAUGAAAGAAAGUCCUCUGGAAAACCGUUGAAAAUUUAACCCAAAACAAAAAAAGAAAAGUCCUUUCUGGAUAGCAUAGUUUUUGACCCAAGAAAACGUUUUAAUCUAUAUUUCGAAACCAUCUUUUACACGAACAAAAAAGCUUGUCCCAAAUGUUAUCUAAACAUCUCGUUAAAACAAAAAAAAAAAUUGUUUUGAAUGUAUUAAAGAAUUAAGAUGGUUUUAAAAGUGUGAUGUUGUUACGCAUGAAAAUGGAUGAUUUAUGUAUUUAUAAUUAUUUUCAAAUGUUUUCCUGAGCCUACUGAAAAGUUUAAAUGUUUAAAGAAAACUAAAAGAAAGCAAUGGAGAGAUUACAAACUUUUAUAUUCGACAUAAUUUACCAAUUAGGCAACGACUUUCAUUCAUUUCACAAAUUUGAGGAAACUAUACAAAAUUAGCCAUCGGAUUAAAAUGGAAAAUAACAAGCCGAAAAGCUGCUAUUCUCAGAAAUAACAAAUAUACUUGAAUGUAAUAAAAAUUGUUAGGGAUGUUUCAUAAAAAUAAAAACCAAACUAAUUAAAAUUCGAAACCAACCAAAAGAGAAAAUUUUGCAUAUUCAACGUAAAUGACAAAUUGUGAAAAGAAAUUUCCAUAUUUACUGAUUGGAGAAACCUUCCUCUUGCCACGUGGAACUUAAGUCUGACACAAGUGCUGACAUCACUACCCCAUCUCUUCUUCUGAAUCUUCAAAUGUCUUUUUUAGUACGCUAUAAACUCACUUUCUUCUUCUCCAAGAGCCAAAAAAAAAAUUCGGAAACCACCAAAAAAAAAAAAACAUGAGAAGCUCCGAUCAUACGCCGUUUUCCGGCGUUUUGCCGAUUGUUUUCUUACUUAUAUUAUCAUCAGCGGAUCUAGCGGCGAGUCAAUCACAGCCCGGUCCAGCAAAUCAACCGUAUAACUACGGCAGGCUAAGUCCAGCCAUGGCAGUGAUCGUCGUGAUCCUAAUCGCUGCUCUCUUCUUCAUGGGCUUCUUCUCCAUCUACUUCCGUCACUGCUCCGGCGUACCAGACGCCGGCGUUUCUCCAGCUGGUGGAGCUAGAUCCAGAGCAACCGUCAACGCGGCGGCGCGUGGUCUCGACGCUUCAGUUGUCGAGACUUUUCCUACGUUCUUGUACUCUGAUGUGAAAACGCAGAAGCUUGGCAAAGGAGAGCUAGAGUGUGCGAUUUGUUUGAACGAGUUCGAAGACGACGAAACGCUGCGUUUGCUUCCCAAGUGUGAUCACGUGUUUCACCCUCACUGCAUCGAUGCUUGGCUCGAGGCUCACGUGACUUGUCCUGUUUGCAGAGCGAAUCUUGCUGAACAGGUUGCUGAAGGUGAAUCGGUUGAACCGGGAGGAACUGAACCAGAUCUUGAAUUGCAGCAGGUUGUGGUGAAUCCUGAACCUGUGGUUACUGCUCCGGUACCGGAACAAGUGGUGACGAGUGAAGUCGAUUCGAGGAGAUUACCUGGAGUACCGGUUGAUUUAAAACGAGUCAAAUUCUCGAGAUCGCAUACGACGGGACAUUCGGUGGUUCAACCGGGAGAAUGUACCGAGCGGUUUACUCUUCGGUUACCGGAAGAUGUAAGGAAGAGGAUAAUGAGGGAAUGGAAAUUGAACCGGACGAAUAGUCUUCUGGUUCUUCCUAGGGGAGGGAGUUCAAGGAGAGGUAAACCGAUUGACCGGUCAAGGGCUCGGUCUGAUCGAUGGUUGUUUCGUAAAACGCCUUCGUUUCUUUGGAGGAGUCGUGAUGAUGGUUCGAUUAGGUUAGGUGCUACCGGUAGCGUUCGAGCCAACGCUGUACCGAAUUCAACCGGUGGUGAUUCGGUACGUGCAGGAGACCGGUGGGCUUUUCUUAGAAACGCGUCGUUUUUGUGGAGGAACUCUUCGGUACAUGUGCCAAGAGGAGGAGUCAAUAAAGACGGCGAAGGAACUUCGGUUAAAUCGACCGGUGCUAGUGGCUCAACUAGCGGUUCGAUGAGAUUACCGGUUUAGUUGACUUAUCUUUUAGCCGUAUAACUACUCUUUUUUUUUUUCUCACAUAUUUUUCGUUUUUAUGUUUGGGAUUGUCGAUAUACAAGCAAUACAUUUUCCUCAAUUUUUUUCUUUUUAAUUAUUCUUGUAUUGUUUAAAAUUUCUGUAACGUACAUAUAAAGUCAGAUCCGAAAAUGAGAUUUACUUUUGAAAAACAAUGUAUAAAAAAACUUAUAAAAAACGGACAAUGAUGAGGUGAGCCUGGUGAGGUGUGGUGUGGUGUGGUGCAGGUGGGUUUCUCGUUUCUUCAAUAUAAAAAGUUUUAUUCGUGGACAAAGAAUAUAUAUAUAUUUUUUUUUGUCAUCUGAUUUUUAUUAAAACUUUAAGAUAGGAUAUAAGGUGAAAUACUUAAGCCGGUGGAAAACAAAGAUAUCCUCAGAAUCUAAAGCCCAAAAGAGAGAAGCUAAGCCGGCGGACAAAAAAAAAGUCCCCGGAGACAAAGUCGGAGAAAAAAAAGAAUUCCCCCAAAUCUAAGUCUACGCUAAAAACAACAUAAACUUUUAAAGCCGAAAUCGAAAGAGAACGAAACCAAAAACUAAGAAAAGAGGCAAACUAAAAAUAAACAAGAAGAUAAACACUAAGUCAAAAUAACCAAAUCGAUCUUCUUCUUCUGAAGUUUCUGCGAAUGAGCUAUAUCAAUGCUGCCCAACCAUUAAUCACAACUGCUUCCUCCUAUCACAAUGAGAGAAGAUCUCUCGAAACCAAGUAACAAUGACUUCAUAAUCUGACAAGUAAAGGUCCAAAUAGAUCCUCAUUAAACACUUUCAGAUGCGGCUGCGACGAGGGUGCGUCAAGGAACACCUUGAUAGAAGUCAAAAAGAUGCAAUCCGACAUCCUCCAGAUUUGGAAACGCAGAGACAAGGAGCGAAACAUAACCACCUCGAUGAGCUUCGAAAUCAAGAACAAAAACGACACUCAUCUACAACGGAAAUCAUCACCAGUAACUUCCACCUAAGAGAAGAAAGAUCUGAAGCCAAACGACACUAGCAUAAACUUCACACAACAAGGGCCUCAUCUUAGAAAGGAGACGAACCAAACGAGCAACUAUUAGCUAAACCAGGCAAUAAGGGUGAGCGGAGAGGCUAAGGCAAGAUGAAAGCUAACUACAGAGCUCACACAAGCCAAGCACGCGACAUCAAAACACCAAGAAGCACAAGAGCGAGUAACAGAUCUGGAUUUGGGGAAGGCGAAAAGCAAUGGCUUUAUUACAUACCCGUCACCGUCGAUCUCAGAUCCGGCUCCAUCAUCUUCGCAAGAGCCCUGAACCACAAAUCUGAAACACUCAAACUGCUUCCGACAAACACCCAAAAUCACAAACCGAUCAAACUAAAUCGAAACCCCAAUCGAAGGCCACAAGAUUCUUAAAAUUAACACAAAACUAAAACCAAGAAAGGAAAGAACAAAAGGAGGACCAAAGCCGGUGCUAGAGGAGCCACCGUACUCCGGUCACCGAUCUGGGCAAACUUGUAAACUUGAGAGAGCGGCGGCUAGGUCUAGUCCCGAGAGAGAGAGGUGAAUUCGUGGACAAAGAAUAUAGAAUAUAGUUUUGUUUUCUCGCUUUGAAUAUAGAAUAUAGUAUAGCUCUCUUAAUUUAUAGUACAAAAAUAAUACUUUUUUAAGGAAAAUCAGUUCAAUAAUGUGUUUGGUUUAAAACCAGAGUUUUACUUCAUAGUUUAUACACAAGAUUACAUGAAGAAACACUACUACGCUUUAAAGAAAGAAAUCUAUUUAUCAGAAACGUUUUGAGAAA
rnacentral:lncRNA from 1 species